UGAAAGUCGAUGAAAGUUUUUGAGAAACUUCGAAAAUUCGAACUUAUUAAUGACUGAACAUUCAUUGCUUUUUUGCGCCACUUAAUGAAAGUCGGUGAAGGUUUGUGAGUGUCUUCGAAAAUUCGAACCUUUUAAUAACUUCGAAAAUUCGAACUUAUUAAUGACUGAACAUUCAUUGCUUUUUUGCGCCACUUAAUGAAAGUCUGUGAAGAUUUGUGAGCAACUUCGAAAAUUUUUACAAAUUGUCGUAAUGCUUAACUUCGAAAAUAGUCCAAAAUUAUACCGCAGCAAAUUAUUGUCGUUUCUCUGUAGUCUACUUUUAGGACGCAGCUUUCAUUACAACAACACACAAAACAUUCAUUAAUAAAAAUAUUCGAAAAUAAAUAAUAAGCCAAAAACUCAACUGUAGAUUUUAUUAAAAAAAAAAAAAACAAAAAUAAUUAACAAAAAUAACAAAUUUGUAACUUUUAAAGAAAUUAGCAAUUUUGAACGAAAGCACUUGGCCUCUUGCUUUUCCUACGCUCUCGCUCUCUCUCACUCUUUAAAUUUCUACCCGCUUACUCAUUUUUACGGCGCUCUUUCAACUACUUUGCUCUGUCAACUGUCUAGUAAGACGUUAAAAUAUUAUACAAAAUUAAUAAUAAUAUUAAUUACAACAACAAUAAUUAUAAUAACAACAAAAAUAAUAAUAUAAAAAAAAUUAUCAUAAUUCCGUAGAAACGCGUUGCUUCUUUUCGAACACUAAAAAUUAGUUUAAAAAAUUAGUACCAAAAACUUAAAAAAAAAUUAAUUAAAAACUAAAGUAAUUUUAGUUUUGAAAAAAAUUAUAUACAUAUACAUACAUAUGUAUUUAUAUUAAAAAAAACUGUAUUUUGAAUACACAAAAACGAUUACCAAUACAUAUACAUACAUACUUAUAUUUCAAAUAGUAUUUCCAGAAAGCGUUUCGGCGCGUUUUCCUGUAACUAAUUAAUUACAGUUAUCGAUUUCAAUAACUUAAACUCAAAUUAAAUAAAUAUAAUUACAAUACAAAUAUACAUAUAUACACACACACAUAUGUACAUAUAAAGUUGGCGUAUGUAUGUGUAGACCUCUUCUAUUCUUAUGUACCACAGAUAUUUAACGGUAUUUGCCACUAUGUGUGUGCAAAUGAUGCAUAUGAAGAACACACAGGCAAACAAAUGUAUACCAACACAACAACAACAAUAAAAACAAAAAAGUUUAAUAUUGCGAAUUAUACAAAACAUACAUACGUAAAAGAACGAAUAUAUAUACACAUAUAUAUAUAUACAAUAUAUAUAAAUAUAAAUAAAUAAAUAGAAAAGUAUGUAUGUAUGUAAGCGCAAGAGCUACACAUACCCUUAUGUAUAUGCAUAUAUUUAAUUAAUACAAUACAAAGUAAUGAUUACAAGUAGUGAUUACUAUGGGUGAAUGCGCAUGCGCACGUUUUAACUGACGCAAUGAGCAGCAAAAGAAGUAUAAGUACUGUAUAACAACAAGAACAACAACAGCGACAAAAUGUAAUGACAGCAAAACGCGGUGAAAUCAAUAACCAUUACACAAUUACAAUUACAGUUACUCAAAAUUAAGCAUUAUUUAUUAAUUAGAACUUUUAAUUAAUUGAACAAAUAAACAAUGAAGAUUUUGAACUAAGAAACAAA